GACGAACGCUGGCGGCGUGCUUAACACAUGCAAGUCGAACGGAAAGGCCCUGCUUUUGUGGGGUGCUCGAGUGGCGAACGGGUGAGUAACACGUGAGUAACCUGCCCUUGACUUUGGGAUAACUUCAGGAAACUGGGGCUAAUACCGGAUAGGAUCUCCUGCUGCAUGGUGGGGGUUGGAAAGUUUCGGCGGUUGGGGAUGGACUCGCGGCUUAUCAGCUUGUUGGUGGGGUAGUGGCUUACCAAGGCUUUGACGGGUAGCCGGCCUGAGAGGGUGACCGGCCACAUUGGGACUGAGAUACGGCCCAGACUCCUACGGGAGGCAGCAGUGGGGAAUAUUGCACAAUGGGCGGAAGCCUGAUGCAGCAACGCCGCGUGCGGGAUGACGGUCUUCGGGUUGUAAACCGCUUUCGCCUGUGACGAAGCGUGAGUGACGGUAAUGGGUAAAGAAGCACCGGCUAACUACGUG
rnacentral:rRNA from 1 species